UUUGCUUGACUCCGUGGCCUGCCUGAACUAAUGCUAGACACUACAGGAACUAAAAAAUGACAUAAUUCUGUGGCUGCAAAAACUGAUGGAAAUGUUAAAGGUCUGGCAGUAAUUAGGCCUGGAUGUGGCUCCUGACAUCUCCUAAACUCAGCUUUCCAAGGAAUUUGGUUAAUCAAAGCCACUUUUUCACAUAGGGCCAGGCUCCACUAAAAAAUAGACCCAGCAUGCAUCUCCAGAGAAGUGGAGCUGCAUGGUGCUUCUGGCACACAGAAGACAGACAACAGCGUGUGCUGUGGAAAACCUAGAGACAGACUACAGAAGGGCCAAUUGGCAUGGCUGGAACACUGUGCAGAUGGAUUAUGAGGAAACCUGGUAUUACG